UACGUAGGGGGCGAGCGUUUGUCCGGAUUUACUGGGCGUAAAGCGCGUGUAGGCGGCUUUGCAAGUCGGGGUGUGAAAGCCCUCAGCUCAACUGAGGAAGUGCGCCCGAAACUGCAGAGCUUGAGUACCGGAGAGGAUGGCGGAAUUCCCCAAGUAGAGGUGAAAUUCGUAGAUAUGGGGAGGAACACCGGUGGCGAAGGCGGCCAUCUGGACGGAUACUGACGCUGAGACGCGAAAGCGUGGGGAGCAAACAGG
rnacentral:rRNA from 1 species